UUAUAGUUUUACUCUUGAGUGUAUUCGUUUGUUUCUCCACCGGCAUUUAUGGCCAUGGCAGCUCUAACCCCAAUUUGUUGUUCAACGCCCAGAUUCAGUGGUCAACAACUAAAAAAAAUUAUCAGUUUCCAAUUUCAUUACUCGGAAGCAAAAUAGAAGCAUCCGAAUCCGAUUACCCUAUCCGUGGAAGACGGCGUCGUUUCUCUCCGUUUCCAAAGAGCAUCCGAGACCUGCCCUAGCUCCACCACCACCAUGACCAUGAGAAGGAAAAAUUCGGAGACGCCGUUAAGGACAUACGCCAAGUACGAUACCCAACCGAGGGAGACAACGGUUGAGGUUGUGAAUUACGGAGGGAGCGUGUAAGUGGUGUCCGAAAUCAAAGCAACCAUCAAGGAGAAGUUUCCAGACAUUCUCAAUGUUAACUUCACCAUUUUUAUCCCUUUCUCUAUAAUUAUUCCUUCAAUAAAUAUCUAGACUUACUAUUAUUAUGAUCAGUUCUGAAUCAUCUGAUAUCAAUUUCCAGGGUUGGGUAAUUAUUGAUUGCUGAAAGUUUCAUUGGGAUGCCUUUGGGACACUUAGCAUCGUGUCCUCGCUUCAAUGAACCACUAAUGGCUUUAGCUUGUC